UAUAUAUUCUAUUCGUUUCAAAAUCGAUUUCCGUGCGAGUACAUUCACUAGUGGAUAAUAUAUUUUUUAUAAUUUGUUUUUGAGGAAGUUUUUUUAAUGUAAAUUUUAUAGUGUUGAUUUUGACAAAUUAUUCAAAAUUUAGAAGAGAGUAUCCAGGUUAGCGCUUUCAAAUCGCUUUAUUGAGAAAAAAAUAUGCGUCUUCCAUUAUUUGGCUUGAUUUUACUUUCCAAGGGAACAGAAAUAGCCGCAUCCUGCUACUUCGUGUUAUUAGGAACCCUUUUGCAUGUAACACGCAUUAGUUUGAUAAAUACUGUAUUUAGUUAUGGUCACCGAUUAAUCCCAAAUGCGGAAUCCGCUAUAUUUUUCGCCACCGUCAUUUCGUUCUUCAGUCGUUUCCAGUUUCGAUAUGCAUACGCAACGUCAAGAGGUUUUGUGAUCACAGUAACAGUAUUCCGCUUUUUGGUUUCGGUACUUUUGACUGAACUUAUUAUGGAUAGUGUCUGGAUUCCCAUAGGAAACUUUAUGUAUCGUACAAUAUUUUAUACUGGGUUUCCUUUUGGCAUAGUUGCCGGAUUUCGGGUACUACGGAUUUUGUUUACGUGUUUGAGUUGCUACACUAUAACCUAUUUCGUUGGACUUUUCAAAUUGGUUUGGUGUCUUAAAAAACUUGGUAACUACGAUAACGAAGAGUAUAGAUUAGUCUAUGGUCCACUUGAAGCUCUACUCUACAAACAUGGGGUUCAAGUAGACUAAAUCAACAAUAUGGUUUGAAGAAGAGGGCGCAUCCCGGGUGAUGCAUGGAUGGUUUUUAAUGAAAAAUAUGCAAAACACAAAAAGAUAGAAAUUGGAAGAUAACAAUAGUCGAACAGGACUUUUUCGUUUUGCUGUCUUGUUUAUCGAUGUAGGAGGUCUAUUACCAAAUGAAUUGCUUAGAGUAUUGCAGAAAGUAUAGACAAUUGCAAAUAUGGACUAACACUUCGUUAUCUUGUUAUUGUAUCAUAGAAAAGACGUGCUUGCCACCCCGUUUCAUAGAAAAAUAUUCUUAUAUCAAGAGGAUCUGCAAAAUUUGGAUGGAUUUUAAGAAAUUUAUUGAAUCAGUUAAACUGGAUACUUUGACAAGUUGUGAUGCUUAAAUUCUAAUGUAAAUUGAUUUAAUUUUCAAUGUAUAUUUUAUAUUUGAAAAAUUAUGCAUUCGUGCUGAUGUUAAAAAAAU